AUUGAACGCUGGCGGCAGGCCUAACACAUGCAAGUCGAGCGAGUGGCGGACGGGUGAGUAAUGUAUGGGGAACUGCCCGAUAGAGGGGGAUAACUACUGGAAACGGUGGCUAAUACCGCAUACUAUCGGAUGAACCCAUAUGGGAUUAGCUAGUUGGUGGGGUAAAGGCUCACCUAGGCGACGAUCUCUAGCUGGUCUGAGAGGAUGAUCAUCCAAAUUGGAACUGGGACUCGGCCCAGACUCCUACUGGAGGCAGCAGUGUGGAAUAUUGCACAAUGGGCGCAAGCCUGAUGCAGCCAUGCCGCGGGUAUGAAGAAGGCCUUAGGGUUGUAAAGUACUUUCAGCGGGGAGGCGUUACCCGCAGCAGAAGCACCGGCUAACUCCGUGCCAGCAGCCGCUGAAAUAC
rnacentral:rRNA from 1 species